UCCUCGAUAGCUCAGUUGGUAGAGCAACGGACUGUUUAAUCCGUGUGUCCCUGGUUCGAGCCCAGGUCGAGGAGCCA
rnacentral:tRNA from 1 species